GAGUUCGAUCAUGGCUCAGGAUGAACAGCUAGCUACAGGCUUAACACAUGCAAGUCGAGGGGCAGCCCGACGAUAGCUUGCUAUUGUUGCUGGCGACCGGCGCACGGGAGAGUAACGCGUAUCCAACCUUCCCUAUAGUAGGGGAUAGCCCGGCGAAAGUCGGAUUAAUACCCUAUGUUAUUCAAUGCGGACAUCUAAGUUGAAUCAAAGGCUUGCCGCUAUAGGAUGGGGAUUUUUUUGAUUAGCUUGUUGGCGGGGUAACGGCCCACCAAGGCGACGAUCAGUAGGGGUUCUGAGAGGAAGGUCCCCCACAUUGGUACUGAGCCAGGAUCAAACUC
rnacentral:rRNA from 1 species